AGCACGGUGGUGCAGUUGGUAGCAUUGUUGCCUUACAAGAAAGUCCUGGGUUCAAGUCCCGCCUGGGGUCU